rnacentral:rRNA from 1 species
AUGGACGGCGGGAAGAAGAGCCGGGACCCGUACAAGCUGCCGCAGGAGCGAAGGGACCGCAAGUCAGGCUCCGGGAUGAGCGGCGACGCCAAGAAGGGCGGCCGUGGCGGCAAGUUCACCUGGGAGGGCACCGACGGCUACACCGACGAGGAUCUUGACCUCAUCGGCAACAAGGGCAGGGGUACCGGCGCCUCCGACAACAAGAAGUCCUAG